rnacentral:rRNA from 1 species
UCUUGGAAAUAAAAAGAAAAAUCUACCAGAGUACUACGAAUAAAAAAUUUAAAACUCAAAGAGCUUGGCGGUGCUUUAGACUUUUCAGGGGAACCUGUCUUGUAAUCGACAAUCCACGCUAUACCUCACCUUUUCUUGCAUACAAUUUGUAUACCGUCGUCGUCAGGUAACUUUUAAAAUUCUAAUAGUUAGCAAGAAAGUUUAAAGAAUAAACUUAAACGUCAGAUCAAGGUGCAAUCAAUGAGAAGGUUAAGAUGGGUUACAAUUAUAAAAAUAAUAAUACGAAAAAUUAGUUGAAAUACUACUUUAAAGGAGGACUUGAAAGUAAAAUGAAUAUAUACAUAUUAUUUGAAUAAAGCUCUGAAGCGUGC